rnacentral:lncRNA from 1 species
CUACCUUGGGUAGGGGUAUCUCAAAAAUGUAUAGGCUUUGCCACUAGCUUAUAGUGUAAAAUGUAUCUUCUGUGUGUCUGCCACUAUAUACAGUUCUGGCAUCAGAUCUCUGCUGUUUGUUAAUCACAAUCCAUCUCAGGUCACUGUAGAAUUCUCUCUUUGUUAUGUUAUAACAGUAUCCCCCACAUUCUGAAAUUGCAUUUUUGUCCCCCCCAGUUUUAUCAUUGGAAUGUGAUACAAAACGAGGCACCAGUGUGCUUUAGGACCAUGCGGACGCCUCCGAGCAUCGGGUAGGCUGUUUUUAUCCGACAAUUUUUUUGUUUUGUUAUGUCCCCCCACUUCUAAAACCAAAGUUGUGCCCCUGUAAUAAACAAUAACAAUACAAAUGUAAGAAAAAGUUUAAGGGACACAAUUUUUUAUAUGCAGAUUUUUUGUUGUCGUUACAAUUUCUCUGUCAUAAUAAUAUAUUUGAGUAUGUCUGAUCAUUGGGCAAUGGCUGCCCCUCCCCACCUACCAAGAAUGGCUGGCCCAGUUUUCUGAUAGGCUGAGCUAAGGUGGUGCAAAAAUUCACAUUCAAAUUCAAACGUGCAUCAGCAGAGAGACCAGCUCUGACUCCCACUUUUGUAACCCACUUUUUUUCUUUUUUUUCUGGUUCUGCUGGUCCAAGAACCUUGUCUGCGCUGAGAAAUUAUCUAGGUUUAGCACCGACAGACCAGCUGCUGCUGCAGAAGACAGUCGAGGUCUCACAGCCCACCAACACAACCAACUUGAGAAGAGCCAACGAUGUGCAACCUGGCCUUGCAGUCCCUGGAGUCCUUUGCACAGAAGCUUGCAAAAUCCCAGGAUGACAACAAAUGUCUGCCUCAGAUGAGAGCCCAUGUCAGUGGCAGAUCUACCCGAUUCAUCUCGGACUGACAGAUUCUACAACAGCCCUAUGCCUUACUUUGUGAGACUGCUUAAUGCUGCUUUACUGUGAUAUUGUACACCACUUCUAAUAUAUAUAUAUAUAUAUAUAUAUAUAUAUAUAUAUAUAUAUAUAUAUAUAUAUAUUACAUUAACUGAAUUUCCUUGAUCAAGCAAAGGUACAAUGUACACAACAUCUUUAAGGAUGAUGUCAUGCCAAAACAAUAAGGAAAUUUGAAUUAAAAAAGCAUCUUUUGAAAUACAAUCUCAAAGUUAUUGCCUGUAACUCUGACAACAGGGCAGAUGAGAUCAAUUCAGGCUUUGCUGAGAACACUAUCUUGCCAGUACUUUGGUAAUUCAAUAUCAUAGUCAAGUUGAGUUUUGUGUGUGACUUUCUUCAUCUCCUUUCAAGGAGGAUGGCAAAAAACUCCAGCACUUUGUUGGACAUUUGCUUGCUGCUGCACCCGGUUACACUUUAUUGUAGCUAAUAAUGGCAUUAAAAGCAAGCCACAGAUAUGCUGCUCCCAUCCACCCAUAGAGAAUGAUAGAGGCCUCUAGUGGCCAUAAGGCCGUUGUAACAUGUAUAGUACUAUUGAGGGCUUCCAUCAUUUUAAUGUAGUCAGCUGGGUGGGACUUACAACUUCACUGGCUGAUCCCUCCUGGUGACCCUGUUGGAGUCAUGUCCAAUUAGGUCAUCGGGAGGGAUCAGCCAAUCGUGAAAAAGAAAAUGGACUACUUUAAAAUGGAGAAAAUGCCUCAAUUCACAC